rnacentral:lncRNA from 1 species
GCGAUGUCGUUUAUGGACUCUUAAGUGCUCUGAAGUUUUUAUCACUGUCCUGUAUUUAUUUCUUUUUUUUCAGAUGGCAAUGGCUUAAUAUUAAAGGCAUCCCAGGGGAGCAGUUUGAGCCAAGACCUCCCCCUCCCAUGAGUGUGAAGUCUUGCAGCUCUGCCUGUGUCUCACUGUUUCUGGAUUUGUCUUCAGCUGUGGAAGGAGAAGCCCCACAGAGAGGCUGGCCACCCGCAGAGCAGUUUGGAAGUUACCAGGCUGAUGAUCUUAAGUUUUUGGACUCGAAGCAGUGCCAGGUAACUCACUGGAGAUGGCUGGAUGCAUUUUCACAUGCUUUGAAAUCUCCUUACGCCCCUCGAUGUGGUCUUAAGGCUGAGACGGACCUGUGCCUUCUGGUGGUGGUAAGUGUGGGAUCUCAGAUCCUUGGUGUCCCAGUCAUCCCCUCAGGCUUGCCCCUCCCCCAGGGGGGCGUGCACUCAUGUCACAUGACACCGGCAGGGCCGUGCUCUGAUUGGAUGGCUUCUGCAUAGAGGGUGGAGAGCAGCCUCAUGC